AGUGAACGCUGGCGGUAGGCCUAACACAUGCAAGUCGAACGGCAGCACAGUAAGAGCUUGCUCUUACGGGUGGCGAGUGGCGGACGGGUGAGGAAUACAUCGGAAUCUACUUUUUCGUGGGGGAUAACGUAGGGAAACUUACGCUAAUACCGCAUACGACCUACGGGUGAAAGCAGGGGAUCUUCGGACCUUGCGCGAUUGAAUGAGCCGAUGUCGGAUUAGCUAGUUGGCGGGGUAAAGGCCCACCAAGGCGACGAUCCGUAGCUGGUCUGAGAGGAUGAUCAGCCACACUGGAACUGAGACACGGUCCAGACCCAUACGGGAGGCAGCAGUGGGGAAUAUUGGGCAAUGGGCGCAAGCCUGAUCCAGCCAUACCGCGUGGGUGAAGAAGAUAUUCGGGUUGUAAAGCCCUUUUGUUGGGAAAGAAAAGCAGCAGGUUAAUACCCCGCUGUUCUGACGGUACCCAAAGCAUAAGCACCGGCUAACUUCGUG
rnacentral:rRNA from 1 species